UAUUGAUGAAUUUUACAUUCCCAAAAAAUUGCAUAUAAACAGUGAAUAUAAUGUAGGCCUUAACCCACUGUUCCUAGGCCGUCAUUGAAAAUAAGAAUUUGUUCUUAACUGACUUGCCUAGUGAAAUAAAAGGUAAAAAAUACAUUUUUAAAAAGUCAUCUUGUGCUGCUAAAAACUCUGGGUUUAAAAUGGUGCUGUUCGCACAUAUUUUAGGAGUUGAGAAAUAAAUAAAGUAGGUUUUGGAAAGUUGGGAUUCCCCCUCUAACAAAAGGCAAAUACAACUGCUUGUCAUAAUGCAUGUUUCCCUCCCCAUGACACACUUGAAUGCUCCACAAGAGGAAUGGUUCACUCCCACAGAACAAGUUAUGUAAAUAGGUGAACUAUUCCAGUGGUAAUCAAAGUUGGGGUCGCGACCCCUACUGGGGUCUGCAGUGGGGUCGCCAAAUACAUUUUUGUACCCCCCCCCCAAAAAGAGUACAGAUUAUUAUAUGGGACAAUAAAACAUUUGAGAAAGAUAAUCUAAAACAAUACUAUUCUAUUGAGUAAAUGUAUGGCUUUAUUUUCUUAAAUAAACCAAUAUAUUUCUUAACAUUCAAUUCAAUUCAUUUGUUUAUUUAUGUAACAAAAAAUAAAAAUCUACAUUUAGAGUUUAAAGGUUGUGUCAUUAUAUUUGGGCUCGUGAGAAUUGGCGGGGGGAAAAAAAUGGGGGGAAAAAAAUUGAAGACAACUGUGGUACUUUGUUACUCGUUUUGUUUUCAAAGGGGGAAAAACAAUGUGGACUGCUCUAGCAUCUUCAAAGUGGGCUUCAGGCAGAAAUAUUUUUCCAAGUUACAUAUUCAUUUGCCGUGACUAAUGAUUUUGCCGUGGCGCAACUACGUUGUAAGGAAUAUCCACUUGGAAGCCAUAGGAACUGUACAACCACACUUUGGAUCGGCUCUCUGGAUACUUGGCUCUCUGCUGUUUGCCACUAAUGGCUAAAAACCACAACUUGGAAGAAAAAAAAAAAAAAAAAAAAAAAUCACAUGACUUUUUGAAACUGUAUUCCAAGACCAGUCAGGCUUCUCUAACAAAGCACAAUUGCACAAGUUUCCUACAGCACUGGAAAGAAGACUCCACACACAUCAACAGAUAAAACACCAAAUUACAAGCUUGCAUAUUUAUUGCACUACUUCUAAAAUUGCCAAAGUAAAGUACAUGGGAUACUGUAAGUUAAGCGCAUCAGAAUGGAAGACAAAAGACAACUAAAGUGGGC
ensembl:lncRNA